rnacentral:rRNA from 1 species
GAUGAACGUUGGCGGCGUGCCUAACACAUGCAAGUCGAACGGGAAGUCUUCCUUCGGGAAGAUGGAGAGUGGCGCACGGGUGAGUAACACGUAGCUUAUCUGCCCUGAAGAGCGGGAUAACGCACCGAAAGGUGUGCUAAUACCGCAUAAGCUCACAUGAACUAGAACAAUGUGAGAAAAGCUCCGGCACUUCAGGAUGAGGCUGCGGCCCAUCAGCUAGUUGGUAAGGUAAUGGCUUACCAAGGCAACGACGGGUAGGGGGCCUGAGAGGGUGACCCCCCACACUGGGACUGAGACACGGCCCAGACUCCUACGGGAGGCAGCAGUGAGGAAUAUUGCGCAAUGGACGAAAGUCUGACGCAGCGACGCCGCGUGGGUGAUGAAGGUUUUCGGAUCGUAAAGCCCUCUUCUUGGUGACGAGAAAGGACAGUAACCAAGGAAUAAGUGUCGGCUAACUACGUGCCAGCAGCCGCGGUAAAACGUAGGACGCAAACGUUAUCCGGAAUUACUGGGCGUAAAGCGCGCGCAGGCGGAUCAGCAAGUCAGUCGUGAAAGCUCCCGGCUAAACUGGGAGAGGUCGGAUGAAACUGCUGGUCUAGAGUGUGGUAGAGGUAUGUGGAAUUCCGCGUGUAGUGGUGAAAUGCGUAGAUAUGCGGAGGAACACCAGUGGCGAAGGCGGCAUACUGGGCCACAACUGACGCUGAGGCGCGAAAGCAUGGGUAGCGAACGGGAUUAGAAACCCCGGUAGUCCAUGCCGUAAACGAUGUACACUAGACGUUCGUGUGACUACGGUUGUGUGAGUGUCGAAGCAAACGCGAUAAGUGUACCGCCUGGGGAGUACGGUCGCAAGGCUAAAACUCAAAGGAAUUGACGGGGGCCCGCACAAGCAGCGGAGCGUGUGGUUUAAUUCGA